ensembl:lncRNA
UGUUAGCCUGCUUUAAUUAGAGAAAGGACAAUUAGCAUCAGUGUUAUUCCACAUUUCUUGGGUUAUAUUUAUAUUCAAAAAUAUAAAGAGAUUAGUUAGCAUAUGUUUGGUCCAGAGGAUGAUCCACAGUGAUGUUGUGUUCUGCAGCCGAGCACUGAAUGACUUUUCCCACCAGAAGAUCGUCCAGCAUGUAGCAGCAGAUUAUUAUAUAGGCAACUGUGUACUGUCUGUAAUUGGUAAAUCACAUUUUCUGCUGUAUUUAGAAAAAGGAACCAUCACUUUAUUUGAAUAAAUGAAUAAACAAAAUGCAGGUAUAUGGAGGAAACUCAGAUGUCCCAGUUUUACACUGGGACAUGAACACAGCAUAAGUUUGCGGAUCUCGGCGAAGCUGGCAGUGUGAAAUUUGUCUCAAAAUUAUACAUAUUAUACACAUUUGUAAAUCAUACCGUACGUGCACUUGCAACCGUUUUGAGGUUUCUCUCCAUAUAUAAAUAGCGACUGUAAAUGUCAGUUUAAAUCGUCUUACCUGUAAAACUUGCCGUCUUUACCGGAAGUCAAUGUACACACCUUAACGGGUGGGAGUGUUUAUUUUUUCCAGUGUAACUGAAAAGUUAAGUUUCAUUUUCCUGUUCUGGAAAAUCAUGUGUUAUUUAGUCGGCGACAGAGAUUACAAUUACAAAAUGGAGAGCAGUCUGUUCCCAGAACUUUUUUGGAAAAAAGACAAGGACAACGAAAAGGAAGAAGGAAGAACUAGCCAUAAGAAAAGAAAGAGAGUCACGGAUGAUAAAGAUGAAAAGAACCUCUGGCGUGUAAAAUGUGGAACCAAAAAGGGUUGGAUGGAUGUAGAGAAGUUGAGAAAAGGUAAGGAUUGUAUUGAGUUUGAAGGCUCCUUUUACAGUCCACCUGAGUUUGAGAAGCUUGCAGGAAAAGACUCAUGUAGAAAAUGGAAGUCAUCUAUUUACCACAAGAAAGCUCCUCUGCACUUUUGGUUCAAGAAAGGUUACCUAACCACUACAGGAUAUAGACAAAAGAAAAGAAAAAGACAAUCAUCAGACCUUGAGUCCCAGGAACUCUUCACAGAACGCAAGGAAGAUCAUGAUGAAGAUGAGGAUGGAGAAGAGGAUGAUGAGGAUAUGGAUGAAGAUUAUGUAUGGGACAAUGAGCAGGGCACUAAGAAAAAUGAAGAUAAAAAAGCUACACAGAUUUAUAUCUCUUCUGAAGAAGAAGAAAGCGAGGAAGAUCCUGUUGAAGAUGAAGAUGAGGAUGGAGAACAAGAAGAUGAGCAUAUGGAUGAAGAUGAUGUAGGUAACGAUGAGCGUAGCACUGAGGAUGAUGAGGAUGAAGAAAGUGAUAAUGGUGAGGAUGAGACUGUGCCUGCUGUUGCCUCUAACCAUACUGACAGCAGUGGUAUCAAAGAGAGAGUAACACCUACAAUUCCAACACCUGGAAAACAUGCAUUAGAGAUGAAAGAAGUAAAGGGUAUCGUUAACAUCCUUCCUGAGAAGACUAGACAUCAUUCUGACAUGCCAAGAUCUGAAGUCAGUGGAAAUAACAAAGAUGUGGCAAAAAACACAGCAAUCAAACAGCAAAAUGUUAAGAAACAACCUGAAGAGAAACUGAAAAAGACAACAACAAGCACAAUUUCAAUACCUGGGAAACCUGCACUAAAGAUGAAAGAAGCUAAUGGUAUCGUUAAAAGCCUUCCUGAGAAGGCUAGACAUCAUCCUGACACGACAAGACCUGAAGUCAUUGGAAAUAUCAGAGAUGUGGCAACAAACACAGCAAUCAAACAGCUGAAUGUUAAGAAAGAACCCAAAGAGGAACUGAAACACAAGGAAGAUCGUGUUAAAGAUCAAGAUGAAGAUGAAGAACAAGAAGAUGAGCAUAUGGAUGAAGAUGAUGUUGGUGAUGAUGAGCUUAGCACUGAGGAAGAUGAGGAUGAAGAAAGUGAUCAUGGUGAGGAUGAGACUGUGCCUGCUGUUGCCUCUAACCAUACUGGCAGCAGUGGUAUCAAAGAGAGAGUAACAAGUACAAUUCCAACACCUGGAAAACAUGCAUUAGAGAUGAAGGAAGUAAAGGGUAUCGUUAACAUCCUUCCUGAGAAGACCAGACAUCAUCCUGACAUGCCAAGAUCUGAAGUCAGUGGAAAUAACAGAGAUGUUGCAACAAACACAGCAAUCAAACAGCAAAAUGUUAAACAACCUGAAGAGAAACUGAAGAAGACAACAACCGACACAAUUUCAACACCCUUGAAACCUGCACUAAAGAUCAAAGAAGUAAAGGGUGUCGUUAAUAGCCUUCCUGAGAAGGCUAGACAUCAUCCUGACAUGACAAGAUCUGAAGUCAGUGGAAAUAACAGAGAUGUUGCAACAAACACAGCAAUCAAACAGCAAAAUGUUAAGAAACAACCUGAAGAGAAACUGAAUAAGACAAUAAGUAGCACAAUUUCAAUACCUGGGAAACCUGCACAAAAUAUCAAAGAAGUAAAGGGUGUCUUUAAUAGCCUUCCUGAGAAGGCUAGACAUCAUCCUGACACGACAAGAUCUGAAGUCACUGAAAAUCCCAGAGAUGUGGCAAAAAACACAGCAAUCAAACAGCUGAAUGUUAAGAAACAACCUGAAGAGGAACUGAAGAAGACAACAACCGACACAAUUUCAACACCUGUGAAACCUGCACUAAAGAUCAAAGAAGUAAAGGGUGUCAUUAAUAGCCUUCCUGAGAAGGCUAGACAUCAUCCUGACACGACAAGAUCUGAAGUCAAUAGAAAUUCCAGAGAUGUGGCAAAAAACACAGCAAUCAAACAGCUGAAAGUUAAGAAAGAACCUGAAGAGGAACUGAGUUGUUCAAACACUAAAAGUUCUGCAUUCCUGUUUUGUUGUUGUUGUUGUUAUUUUGUGCCUAUUAUUUUUAUCAAGUUUUUUGUAGUCGAGAAAAUAAAAAUCCAAUUAAAAAUUGAAAAUCUGUAAAUUGAAAAUCUGUAAAUCUGAAAUUUAAUAUGGUGGUGGGGACCAAAAUCCUGGUCCCCACAGGGUUGAAGGCAUUUUUACACUCAAAAUUUUAGUGUCAGUUUUAGUGUCAGGGUUACAAUUGGGUUAUGGUUAGGUUUAGGGUUAGCCAUUCAUUUUUGAUGGUUAGGGUAAGCAGCUAGGGAAAGCAUUAUGUCAAUGGGAUGUCCCCACAAGGAUAGCAAACUAGACGUGUGUGUGUGUGUGUGUGUGUGUGUGUGUGUGUGUGUGUGUGUGUGUGUGUGUGUGUGUGUGUGUGUGUGUGUACACAAAUGACGAUCAAGAUGGGGAACUGGCAGUGGAAACAGAGCAUAUAGAUGAAGAGAUGACAGGGCCUGAAAAUGAAAGAGAGUUUGUAAAUUCAGGAUCUGAUGUCAGUGGAAACCAGUGGUGACCUCAAACACACUAAUCAAAAAGCAAGAUGGUGAGAAAGGAAAAGAAAAAAAACUGUGUGUGUUUCUUUUGUUUUUUCUCAAUAUGUUUUCUAAAUGUACAGGUCCUUUCUGUGAACCUCUGGCUGUGUCAGAUGACCAUCAACAUAAAGAGGUCCCCUGCUCUGGCCACAGUGUAGCUGAAGUACAAUCCAUGAGGCCAGAGAUGAGUGUGAACAUGUCAGAGGCCCGGUUGCCUGGGCCCUCAGCCAGCUCUGGUUUGAAUACAAUGGAUCUUGAUCAACUGAAGAGGGAAAAAAUAAAAAUGGAAGUAAAGGUUUUAAAAUUAAAAGAAGAGUAUUACACUUUGAAAAUAAAAGAACUUAAAAAAUGAGGAUUAAUGCUUCUGUAAAGCUGACAUUGCAGACAAUAAAUUAAAAGAUCGCUGUUUACAUUCACAAGCUGACACACGUUAUCUGGAGGUUUCUUGAGUAGAAUGUUACUUUUGAGAAAAGCUGCAAAAUCAAGUGUGCUGCAUUUAUACACUGUACUUUUUCUUUGCUAUGCUCAGGUUUCCUUUAGUAUUGUUGAUUACCAUGUUUUACUUUGUUUGUUUUACAUGUUUUUAUAAUGAAACAGAUAGAUGGUAUUUUCUUCUGUAAAAUGUGAAUAAACGAUAUUGAUGCUUUUUAUCUGUAAAUUGUGCAAAUGUUAUGAAACUGUGUUUCCUUUAGACUUUGCCCAAGCUGUAGUAAUAGUUGUAAGAAGUAGCCUUUAAACAGCAUCGUGCAAUGUCUUGAGCCACAGCUCAUUUCUUUAUGUUUUGCUUCCAAGGAGCAAGAGCUUUUAUAAAAUUUGUAAGACAAAAACAAUAGAUUAGACAAUUAGACAAAAAGUUUUUCAUGGAAAUUUGUCCAACCAUAAUGAGAAAACACAAAAUGAAAAAAAGGAGAGUUACAGUGCUGUGCAAAAGUCUUGAGCCAGGACACGUCAUGCAGAGAUAUGUUAAGUGCCCAGCUAAUAGAUCUUUGGGUAUCAUUUGGUUACACAAUUAAAAAAACCAAACUUCUGUGUUAUCUUUGGCAUUUUUCUUUUCUUUUCUUUUUUUUAUUCAAAACCUAAAUAUAGUUAUGUUAGGUAUAUAUAGACUAGAUUAAACUGAUUUACUUUGAAAUAACUCAAGAAGACAAAGUUAUCAGGCUAUAUUUAAUUAUCCUAUAGGCUCUAAUUCUUAAGUGACAAUCAGGUCAACACUCUAUGCCAGUUGGUGGCGGUAAUGAACCAACUAGCUUUUUGACAACCACGAACAAGCACCAAGAAGAUUUUUUUUUUCUUGGGGGAAAAAAGUAAACUUAAAAAAAUAUGUCCUGUCUUUUGAAAAGUAAACUUUAAAAGUAAGUACUGAGUUUUAUCUCAUUUAUUUAUGUAGUGAUACAAAUGUUCCAAUAUCUUUUCUUUCUUUUUUUUGCCUGUCCCGUCUGUUUCUUUAGCCAUCAGAAUUAUUGUCUGAAGGCCAAGAAAGAUGCCCAAUGGAUUUACUUUACCAAGUGGAUCAUCACAGCCUUGCUGUAUUGGUCCAUUCGAUUGACCUUUGUUAUUAUUAUUAUUUUAUUUUAUUUUAUUUUAUUCUCAGUUGUUACAGAUGGGACAGACAUGACUGGAAGAUAGGAAAGGGAGAAGGAAAGAAAGAGAGGGAGGGAAAAACAGAGGGGAAGAGGGACAGUGAGAAAGGGCACUUAAAAAAAUCACCUGGAUCACCUGUUGAGAGAAGAAAAACGAAAAAAAGAGGAAACAAGCAAAAAAGAGUGCACCAUCAACACCAUCACAAUAAUCUAGCUAAGUGUAAAUAACAGUAAAUACUAAAUAUUGAAUGUUAUUGUGCAGCACGCAAGACUGACAGCGCACAAUGUGCUUUGAGGUAGCAGUCAAGAAAGGUGCAGUUUGUGUCUGUGAACAGUAAACACCCAUGUGUACACCUGUGUGCACACCUGUGUUGAUGAGCGCGCUUGUGUUCAAAAGGUUUCUCCAUGUAACGAUCUGCUAGAGGGUGUGGGGAGCCAUAGCCCUGUCCCCCAGGGCAUGAAGCAGGCAUGGAGGAGAUCCAGGCUCCAGACAUCCAGAAGCCCCCAGAGUGCAAGAGCCCAAGGAGGACCACCGGAGGGGCAUCCAUGCCACCCUCUGGGGAGAGCUGAGGAGAGCCCCAGACAAGGGGUCACCCAGCAGCCACAGAGCAGAAGCCAGAGAGGGCUGCAGUGACAUGUCCGCGGGCUGUGCUGGCAGCCAGCUGCGCCAGAGUGGACCGAGCCGCAGGCCCAGAGACCAGAGGUCCGAGGUCCGAGGGCUCCACACCCCCCCGGAAGGGGCCCGCCCAAACCACGGGCGCCAGGUCCUGCCAAGUAGCCUCUGCAAGUGAGCCAGUACAUACCUGAGUGCCCAGCCCCGGACACCAAGAACCACCAACGCACCGACAUCUGAGGGCAUCAGCCACCGGCAGGGAGUGUGGUUAGGGGAGAUAGGCCUCCACACUUUGGAGGGCCUGAGAUAUUCCCAGAGAGGUGGAGUCUGAGAUCCGACCUGACAUAUAGACACAGACGAACAGGCACACACAGACACAAACAUGCAUUCCCACCCUCAGGCACACAUAUACAAGUACUCGGCACUCACCCAAUGCGGGGACAGAAACAAAUGAACACUGUGCACACAAUCACACUCCCCAAACAUACUCUAUACCCCAGGUCCAGGUACCCUCGCCCACACCUAGACCCAGGAGAUGUUACCCUUUUCCCUGGGGUGGAGACAAGCAGACCGUCCCUGGAUCCGCACCAGGGAGGCCCCGCAUCCCAGACCCCAACAGGAUGGCCAACUCCUCCUCCCAGCCCCUCCGUCCCGAUGGCUAACAGAGAAUGGGGGUGUGUGAAGACCCCAUACCUCCCUCCGCCCGCUGAUAUGUAGUGUUGUUGCGUGCUGUUCUAAAGUGCAUUUAAAACAUGGGAGGGCAUGGUGCUUCCUGCCAGAGAGCAGCAGGUGUCAGCACGGCCCUUCCCAAGAACCCUCAAUGUCUACAUGUAUUUAAAAUUGAGAGGUGGGCACCGGCUCCAGAGGUGAGGUUAAAUACACAGACCGUCCUCUGGACGCCGUAUAAUGUGCCCACCCCCAAGGCGCUAUAUGUAUGUGUUCUGAGAGUGUGAGUAAGGUGGAUGUCUAGGUUGUGGUAUAAAAUUGAGGCACAGGUGGCCAGAAGGGGACAGAGAGGAAUGAAACAAUGGCGUGAUGUAUUUUUUCUUUCUUUCUUUUGCUUGAAUGAUUCAUAGGUCAGUGUUAAGUGGCCUAAUAAUCUAAAAAAAUGAAAAUAUUCAGGUAUAAGGAUGGUACUGAAAACAAGUGUAAAAGCAGCCAAAAAGAGACUUCGAAAGACCUUAAGGAAUCCCAGAGAAAAAAAGACAUGCAACUCUAAACUUUUGCAUAGUACUGUAUGGUCAGCCACAGAAGGACUGGGCUGAUAAGAGCGAAAUCAUGGAGAACAGGCUCAAGGUUAGAUUUAAAAGAAAAAAAAAAAGAAAAUCCGUCUCCUUGGAACCAAAACGUGAAAAAUGACACAUUUGUGCACAUUUGUACACACAUGUGCAAUUUUAAAAUUAACUGUAGAUUUAUUAGGUUCUUAGUAGUAUGACUUCACAAUAACAUGUAUAAAUGUCAGUGGCUGUAAUGUAAAUAAAUUUUGAGAAUAAUUUAUUUAAACUUAAUCAGAACUCAUCCCCCCUCCCCCUCCAAACGCCUUCGACGCUUAUUCCCUUCCGAUGCUGACGGUGGAUCAUGGAGACCAGCGCAUAGGCUGCAGGCCCGGAUGUACUGUCUACAUUGGGUGUCUCUCACCCUUUACCCACCCCUGUUGCUUGUCAUGUGUUUCUUUGGUGUCUUAGAGUUUUUUUCAUGUGCUAUGUGCAGAGGUGUUUUUUUUUUCUGUUCUCAAACUGAUCUCCCUCUUGGAGCUCAGUCUGGGGGGAGUUAUUUUUUUCUCCUUAUCUUUCCUCAUGUGGUGCUUUUCCAUGUAUACCCCUCUGACCUGUCUUCCCCAUGUGAUGUUUGUGUAAUGUAUGUAUGGUCGGAUGGGUAAGACGGCGCUGGCACGGCUGGCAGCCUUAACCCAAUUUCCCUCGGGAUGAAUAAAGUAUGAUCAAUC